GACGAACGCUGGCGGCGUGCCUAAUACAUGCAAGUAGAACGCUGAAGGAGGAGCUUGCUCUUCUGGAUGAGUUGCGAACGGGUGAGUAACGCGUAGGUAACCUGCCUGGUAGCGGGGGAUAACUAUUGGAAACGAUAGCUAAUACCGCAUAAGAGUAGAUGUUGCAUGACAUUUGCUUAAAAGGUGCAAUUGCAUCACUACCAGAUGGACCUGCGUUGUAUUAGCUAGUUGGUGGGGUAACGGCUCACCAAGGCGACGAUACAUAGCCGACCUGAGAGGGUGAUCGGCCAGACUGGGACUAGGACACGGCCCAGACGCCUACGAGAGGCAGCAGUAGGGAAUCUUCGGCAAUGGACGGAAGGCUGACCGAGCAACGCCGCGGGAGUGAAGAAGGUUUUCGGAUCGUAAAGCUCGGUUGUAAGAGAAGAACGAGUGUGAGAGUGGAAAGUUCACACUGUGACGGUAUCUGACCAGAAAGGGACGGCUAACUACGUG
rnacentral:rRNA from 1 species